CAAACAGAGACACAGCGGGUACCGAAAGUUGUCAGGAAGAGGGGUCGGACUUUUUGAGUAAAAGGGCGCAGUUAUCGUAACGUUUUUGGCAGGACAGAAGCGGAAUACAUUAAAUAGUUCCGACUGGAAAGUUUGGUCUGAAGUCGCGUGGGCAGUGAUUUCCCUGUGCCAGUUUGCUGUGCUUUCCCAGCCGUGUGACAGGUUGCUGCUACUUCACAGUUCAAGGCUGUAACAGGCGAGCCCGAGAGCCCACUGCCUCUGCUUCUGACCACAUCUAAACCGACUCUUGUUCUCCCAAGCUUGAGGUGCGGACAGCCUCUCCUCUUACUUCUCAUCCUCCUAAGAAAGAAUUCAAGAAGUUCAA